UCUCCGUAGGUGAACCUGCGGAGGGAUCAUUACAGAGUUCAUGCCCUACCGGGUAGAUCUCCCACCCUAUGUUAUUUUUACUUUGUUGCUUUGGCGGGCCGUUAGGCUCCGGCCCGACUACCGGCCCCGGCUGGUAAGCGCCCGCCAGAGGACCCAAAACCCUGAAUAUUAGUGUCGUCUGAGUACUAUAUAAUAGUUAAAACUUUCAACAACGGAUCUCUUGGUUCUG
rnacentral:misc_RNA from 1 species